GCCUGGCAUCAACAACUUCAGGAACUAAAAAUAGGUAGAAAAUACAGCCCCCAAAGGCACCAUGAGCUCCCACACAGCAGGCUUUAUCGUGGAGUUAAUAGGGCCACAGAUUUCCUCAUGCACAGCCCUCCAUGGAAGUGUGGAUUUAUUCUCUUAUGAGAUCGUACAAAAAGUUGCAAACCGAAGUGUAAAUAACAUUCAUCACACCAAGUCAAUUGGAACGUGACUGCGGCGGCGGCUGCUGCUAAGUGUGUUGAAGAUUGAAGGCUAGAAUCUCCCUGCUGAAGCUCUCUGGCUCCCAGGAGAAAUGAUACAAUACCUAUGGGGGAAAGAUUAAAAAG